ensembl:lncRNA
UGGGGUGAUAUCCAGUGGAUCAGUGUCUUUGUUAGAGGAAACACCAAAGAGUCUGUUUUCACUCUUUCUCUCUUCCACGGAGGAUGCACUGAGGAGGUGGCUGUCAACAAGUCAGGAAGAGAGCUCUUACCGGAAACCUAAAAGGUUGAUACCCUCAUCGUGAGCUUCCCAGCUUCCACUGUGUGAAAUACGUUUUUGUUGUUUAAGGAAUCCAGUCUGUGGCAUUCUGCUAUAGCAGCCCAAGCUGCCUAAAACAAUAUCCAAUGAUGUUUCAUAGAGUGAGGUUUUAGGUGAACCUUCAGUGUGUAGAUAGCAUCCAAAAGAACACUCCUGGUGCUUGAGUAUUCUCAAGGCCCAUGCAUUGUAACGACUCCUGCAAGUGGGCUGGGAUUCCAGGAAAGACUCUUGUUUAUACAGAAAAUAGGGCUACUACUCAGGAUCUGAGGUGGAAGAUUGGCAAUGGACUGGGCAUGUGGCCAGUAAAGACAGAGCCCGCUCUCCCCCACCUGGACUCAUGCCAGAUUUCAGAUGUUAUUUCUUCUUCUGCUCAUGUCUUCUUGCUGAAUCAGACAAAAGUGAGCCUAUGGAUGAAGGGCACUAGUGCCCAGAGCUGACUGGGGCCAAGGAAAGUGAAGAUAGCUAUACAGUGGACACAUCGCCUUGGUACCUUAGAGAGCCCUCAAGCAGACCAGCUCAAGCACUUGAACAGAGCAUUCCUCUUCAGGGGAUGGAAACCAUGAUCCUGAUCAAGAAGCAUAAACGAGGAAAUUGAAAAUCCCACAUUGUUCUAUUUCCGAGUGAAAAGCUUUGAUUCACCACUAGAGGACACUAUUCACCCUCUCAUCUUUCUGAAGGCGUCAGCCCAGCAGGGCUCGUUUUCAAGUGAAAAUAACUGCAUUUACUAAGGCUUGUGAUUUGUUUAGAAAUAAAAAGCAGCACCCCCAUGAUUCUGAGCAGAUUUACCCCCGUAAAGCUCCUGUUGAUUGUGAUGCAAAGUCUUUAACUGCAUCAAAUGUAAACUGGAAAAAUUCAGCAAAUUAGGAUUGCCUGUGCAACUAUACAUAAAAUACACUUCAUCACAAAUUGUUUAGGUUUACAAAAUAGACA